CCUACGGGGGGCUGCAGUGGGGAAUAUUGGACAAUGGGCGAAAGCCUGAUCCAGCCAUGCCGCGUGUGUGAAGAAGGCCUUCGGGUCGUAAAGCACUUUCAGUGGGGAAGAAAGCCUUGGGGCUAAUACCCUCGAGGAAGGACAUCACCCACAGAAGAAGCACCGGCUAACUCCGUGCCAGCAGCCGCGGUAAUACGGAGGGUGCGAGCGUUAAUCGGAAUUACUGGGCGUAAAGCGCGCGUAGGCGGUCUGAUAAGCCGGUUGUGAAAGCCCCGGGCUCAACCUGGGAACGGCAUCCGGAACUGUCAGGCUAGAGUGCAGGAGAGGAAGGUAGAAUUCCCGGUGUAGCGGUGAAAUGCGUAGAGAUCGGGAGGAAUACCAGUGGCGAAGGCGGCCUUCUGGACUGACACUGACGCUGAGGUGCGAAAGCGUGGGUAGCAAACAGGAUUAGAUACCCUGGUAGUC
rnacentral:rRNA from 1 species